CUAAAGUGCUAGUACACUUCCAAGCAGAGGGGUAAUCUAUACUCUAACAAAGAAGAAACUAGCUCUGAUAUCUGAGGUGAGUGAAGUCUCGACAAACUGUCACGGACACAGAAUACAGACUUGAUAUCUAUCAAGAAGUUCAAGAAGAACUGGCAAGAACUAGAUUAAUGAGAUGAAUACAAGAACAACACUAGAGAGGUGAGCUAGAGCUCCAAGAGAU
rnacentral:lncRNA from 1 species